rnacentral:rRNA from 1 species
UACAGAGGGGGCAAGCGUUGUUCGGAAUUACUGGGCGUAAAGGGCGCGUAGGCGGCCUUCUAAGUCGGACGUGAAAUCCCUCGGCUUAACCGAGGAACUGCGUCCGAUACUGAAAGGCUUGAAUCCGGGAGAGGGAUGUGGAAUUCCAGGUGUAGCGGUGAAAUGCUUAGAUAUGACAUAGAACACCAAUUGCGAAGGCAGCUUACUACACAGUUAUUGACGCUGAGGCACGAAAGCGUGGGGAUCAAACAGG